rnacentral:rRNA from 1 species
UACGUAGGGUGCGAGCGUUGUCCGGAAUUACUGGGCGUAAAGAGCUCGUAGGCGGUUUGUCGCGUCUGCUGUGAAAACUGGAGGCUCAACCUCCAGCCUGCAGUGGGUACGGGCAGACUAGAGUGCGGUAGGGGAGACUGGAAUUCCUGGUGUAGCGGUGAAAUGCGCAGAUAUCAGGAGGGAACACCGGUGGGCGAAAGGCGGGUCUCUGGGCCGAUAACUGACGCUGG